GACGAACGCUGGCGGCGUGCUUAACACAUGCAAGUCGAACGAAGUGGCGAACGGGUGAGUAACGCGUAAUCAACCUGCCCUUCAGAGGGGGAAAACAGUUGGAAACGACUGCUAAUACCGCAUACGGAAGGAGGGGAUUUCGUCUGAUUAGCUAGUUGGAGGGGUAACGGGCCACCAAGGCGAUGAUCAGUAGCCUGGCUGGGAGGGUUAACGGCCACAUUGGGACUGGGACACGGCCCAGACUCCUACGGGAGGCAGGAGUGGGGAAUCUUUCGCAAUGGACGAAAGUCUGACGGAGCAACGCCGCGUGAGUGGUGACGGCCUUCGGGUUGUAAAGCUCUGUUAAUCGGGACGCGGUACCGGAAUAGAAAGCCACGGCUAACUACGUGCCAGCCGCCGCGGUAAUAC
rnacentral:rRNA from 1 species